rnacentral:rRNA from 1 species
UACGAAGGGGGCGAGCGUGGUUCGGAUUUACUGGGCGGAAAGGGCGCGCAGGCGGUUCUGUUUGUCGAGUGUGAAAGCCCCGGGCUCAACCUGGGAACUGCGCUCGAAACGGCGGAACUAGAGUUCGGGAGAGGAGAGUGGAAUUCCCAGUGUAGAGGUGAAAUUCGUAGAUAUUGGGAAGAACACCGGUGGCGAAGGCGGCUCUCUGGACCGAUACUGACGCUGAGGCACGAAAGCGUGGGGAGCAAACAGG